UACGUAGGGGGCAAGCGUUGUCCGGAAUCAUUGGGCGUAAAGAGCGUGUAGGCGGCUCGGUAAGUCCGCUCUGAAAGCCCGGGGCUCAACCCCGGGAGGCGGGCGGAUACUGUCGGGCUAGAGGCCGGAAGAGGCGAGUGGAAUUCCUGGUGUAGCGGUGAAAUGCGCAGAUAUCAGGAGGAACACCAAUGGCGAAGGCAGCUCGCUGGGACGGUACUGACGCUGAGACGCGAAAGCGUGGGGAGCAAACAGG
rnacentral:rRNA from 1 species